rnacentral:rRNA from 1 species
CUGACUGUACGGGUACGGGGAUCAGGGUUCGAUUCCGGAGAGGGAGCCUGAGAAACGGCUACCACAUCCAAGGAAGGCAGCAGGCGCGCAAAUUACCCACUCCCGGCACGGGGAGGUAGUGACGAAAAAUAACGAUACGGGACUCAUCCGAGGCCCCGUAAUCGGAAUGAGUAUACUCUAAAUCCUUAUACGAGUAUCAAUUGGAGGGCAAGUCUGGUGCCAGCAGCCGCGGUAAUUCCAGCUCCAAUAGCGUAUAUUAAAGUUGUUGCGGUUAAAAAGCUCGUAGUUGGAUCUGUGUCCCGCACCGUCGGUUCACCGCCUGUCGGUGUUCAACUGGCGUGUAUGUGGGACGUCAUGCCGGUGGCUGUCCGGUUCCCCGUGGGAUCGUAGGGUUCGUCCUGGCCUAGCCAGCGGCGUCCUGAAGGCUCGCGUGGUGUAUCCGCCAGCCUUUUCAAUCCCGUCGCGGUGCUCUUAAACGAGUGUCGUGGCGGGCCGGCACGUUUACUUUGAACAAAUUAAAGUGCUUUAAGCAGGCCCUGUCCCGCCUGUAUGUUUUGUGCAUGGAAUAAUGGAAUAGGACCUCGGUUCUAUUUUGUUGGUUUUAGGAAUCUGAGGUAAUGAUCAAUGGGGACAGGCGGGGGCAUUCGUAUUGCGACGUUAGAGGUGAAAUUCUUGGAUCGUCGCAAGACGGACCGAAGCGAAAGCAUUUGCCAAGUAUGUUCUCGUCGAUCAAGAACGAAAGUUAGAGGCUCGAAGGCGAUCAGAUACCGCCCUAGUUCUAACCAUAAACUAUGCCUGCCAGCGAUCCGCCGAAGUUCCUCCGAUGACUCGGCGGGCAGCUUACGGGAAACCAAAGCUUUUGGGUUCCGGGGGAAGUAUGGUUGCAAAGCUGAAACUUAAAGGAAUUGACGGAAGGGCACCACCAGGAGUGGAGCCUGCGGCUUAAUUUGACUCAACACGGGAAAACUCACCAGGCCCGGACACCGGAAGGAUUGACAGAUUGAGAGCUCUUUCUUGAUUCGGUGGGUGGUGGUGCAUGGCCGUUCUUAGUUCGUGGAGCGAUUUGUCUGGUUAAUUCCGAUAACCGAGCGAGACUCUAGCCUACUAACUAGGCGUACCCGGUAUCCACAAUCGUGCUACCGGCGAUCAAUUUUCUUCUUAGAGGGACAGGCGGCUUCUAGCCGCACGAGACUGAGCAAUAACAGGUCUGUGAUGCCCUUAGAUGUCCUGGGCCGCACGCGCGCUACACUGAAGGAAUCAGCGUGUCUUCCCUGUCCGAAUGGACCGGGUAACCCGUUGAACCUCCUUUGUGCUAGGGAUUGGGGCUUGCAAUUGUUCCCCAUGAACGAGGAAUUCCCAGUAAGCGCGAGUCAUAAGCUCGCGUUGAUUACGUCCCUGCCCUUUGUACACACCGCCCGUCGCUACU